rnacentral:rRNA from 1 species
GACGAACGCUGGCGGCGUGCUUAACACAUGCAAGUCGAACGGAAAGGCCCUGCUUUUGUGGGGUGCUCGAGUGGCGAACGGGUGAGUAACACGUGAGUAACCUGCCCUUGACUUUGGGAUAACUUCAGGAAACUGGGGCUAAUACCGGAUAGGAGCUCCUGCUGCAUGGUGGGGGUUGGAAAGUUUCGGCGGUUGGGGAUGGACUCGCGGCUUAUCAGCUUGUUGGUGGGGUAGUGGCUUACCAAGGAUUUGACGGGUAGCCGGCCUGAGAGGGUGGCCUGCCACAUUGGGACUGAGAUACGGCCCAGACUCCUACGGGAGGCAGCAGUGGGGAAUAUUGCACAAUGGGCUGAAGCCUGAUGCAGCAACGCCGCGUGCGGGAUGACGGCCUUCGGGUUGUAAACCGCUUUCGCCUGUGACGAAGCGUGAGUGACGGUAAUGGGUAAAGAAGCACCGGCUAACUACGUG